rnacentral:rRNA from 1 species
GACGAACCGUGCGAACGUUGUUCGGAAUCACUGGGCUUAAAGGGCGCGUAGGCGGGUUUGCAAGUCUGCGGUGAAAGCCCCCAGCUUGACUGGGGAAGUGCCGUGGAUACUGCGGACCUUGAGGAGGGUAGGGGCAUCUGGAACAUUGGGUGGAGCGGUGAAAUGCGUUGAUAUCCAAUGGAACUCCGGUGGCGAAGGCGAGGUGCUGGACAGUUCCUGACGCUGAGGCACGAAGGUCAGGGGAGCAAACGGGG